AGAGUUUGAUCCUGGCUCAGGACGAACGCUGGCGGCGUGCUAAUGCAUGCAAGUCGAACGCAGCAGCUUCGGCUGGCUGCGUGGCGAACGGCUGAGGAACACGUGGGUGACCUGCCCCAGAGUGGGGGAUACCCCGUCGAAAGACGGGAUAAUCCCGCAUACGCUCUACGGAGGAAAGCCCCUACGGGCGCUCUGGGAGGGGCCUGCGGCCCAUCAGGUUGUUGGUGUGGUAACGGCGCACCAAGCCACUGACGGGUACCCGGUCUGAGAGGACGGCCGGGCAGACUGGGACUGCGACACGGCCCAGACUCCUACGGGAGGCAGCAGCAAGGAAUUUUCCCCAAUGGGCGCAAGCCUGAGGGAGCAACGCCGCGUGGAGGACGACGGCCUUCGGGUUGUAAACUCCUUUCGGGUGGGACGACUCCGACGGUACCACCAGAAGCAGCCCCGGCUAACUCUGUGCCAGCAGCCGCGGUAAGACAGAGGGGGCAAGCGUUGUCCGGAGUUACUGGGCGUAAAGGGCGCGGAGGCGGUCUGCGGCGUCGGCGCUGAAAGCGCCCCGCUUAACGGGGCGAGGCGUGCCGAUACGCGCAGACUUGAGGCGAGCAGAGGGUGGUGGAAUUCCGGGUGGAGCGGUGAAAUGCGUAGAGAUCCGGAGGAACGCCAGUGGGGAAGCCGGCCACCUGGGCUCGGCCUGACGCUGCGGCGCGACCGCGUGGGGAGCAAACCGGAUUAGAUACCCGGGUAGUCCACGCCGUAAACGAUGCCAGCUCGGCGUGUAGCGCACGGUCGUGCGCUGCGUGCCUUAGCUCACGCGAAAGCUACCGCCUGGGGACUACGAGCGCAAGCUUGCAUGCCUGCAGGUCGACUCUAGAGUCCCCGGACCAGCUGUGA
rnacentral:rRNA from 1 species